rnacentral:lncRNA from 1 species
UUGAAAGAUAAAUCUCAAAGCACAAGUAACAAAGGUUCAAAAGAACUCUCAAAGUAUGAUAUACUUAAUCAAAAAAUGUUGUAUCUUAUGAAUGAGAAGAACUCCCUAUUUAUAGGAGUACUAAGUCAUAAAAGUCCUUAAAAUUAGGUAGGGUGGUUGCUAAGGCAUACAAAGUCAUUACAAUUAGGUAGGGUGGUUGCUAAAGAGUAAGAAAAGUCAUUAAAAUUAGGUGAGGGCGGCCAAGACCCUUUGGGGCAGAUUUGGGCCUUAAAACAACUAGUUUGGGCCAUUGGUUUGGACUCCAAUUGGGCUCCUUUUGAAACACCCCCUUUUGGACCUCUUUUAAACUUAUUUUGAGCCCAUUUUGAUGGACUUCAAGGGCUAAUUUGGUUACCCAAUCUUCCUCCUCUUGGACUUCAAUUUGGACCACCAUAUAAUUGUAAAAUUUGGACAAUUUAUUUCCUCUGGUCUUGAGCUCUUCCUCUACAAUUGAAAGCUUCUUUAUUUGCCAUUGAAGUCUAGCAACCUUAGUUUGCAACUCUUUAGCUUGAGAUCUUGUAUAUGGCCUUGGAGCUUCCAAAACUCUAUCCUUGUCCUUGAUGCUAUCACCUAGUCAAUUCACAUCCUUUAUCCUUGAGCUCUUCCUCCCAAUUAAUAACUUCUUCAUUUGCACUUGAAGUCUAAUGAUCUUGUUUUGUAAUUCUUUAGCUUGAACUCUUAUUAAAGGCCAUCUUUGAGAUUCAAAAGCUUUAUCCAUGUCCUUGAAUAGAGUUGAGCUUCCUAGGAUGCUAUCAUUCCCCUCUUCUUGAAGAAAAUUCGUCCUCGAAUUUUGACCUUGCAAGAAAAAGAAAACACGCACUAGUAAAUGGUAUCCACUAAUCUGAAAAAAUAAUAGGAAUAAAAUAAGAUAGUGACAAUGUGUCCAUUUAACCCAAUCAAUCCUAAUAGGUAUAAAUACUCCCUUAUAAAGAAUAUGGACAUCAUAAUCCCAAUAAAAUUUAUGUCUACCUAGAUUAAUACAAUAAAAACCUCUCUUAGAUGCACCAUGCAAUGGAACUUGCAAUUCGAUCUUGUCGGUACGGCAGUCCAUGAGUAUACAUGAUAAAGAAAUUAUAAGAGAGUAACUACACAUCCAUUUAAUAUAAGUACCUUUACCACAUUUAACAAACAAGAUACAUUCAUGAUAUAGACUACUAACUACAAUUACAAAUCUCAUGGAUUCCUCUACAUGAAAGAGUAUUUGAUCACCAGUAUUACAACAAUCAUGCAUAUCCUCUUUACUAGAAACAAACACUUUUACAAUCUUACAAUGAACAUGA